rnacentral:rRNA from 1 species
UACGUAGGGCGCAAGCGUUAUCCGGAAUUAUUGGGCGUAAAGAGCUCGUAGGCGGUUUGUCGCGUCUGCCGUGAAAGUCCGGGGCUCAACUCCGGAUCUGCGGUGGGUACGGGCAGACUAGAGUGCAGUAGGGGAGACUGGAAUUCCUGGUGUAGCGGUGAAAUGCGCAGAUAUCAGGAGGAACACCGGUGGCGAAGGCGGGUCUCUGGGCCGAUACUGACACUGAGGAGCGAAAGCGUGGGGAGCGAACAGG